rnacentral:ncRNA from 1 species
UGACCUCGGAUCAGGUAGGGAUACCCGCUGAACUUAAGCAUAUCAAUAAGCGGAGGAAAAGAAACCAACAGGGAUUGCCUCAGUAACGGCGAGUGAAGCGGCAAGAGCUCAAAUUUGAAAUCCGGCCCCCCUGGGGGCCUGAGUUGUAAUUUGCAGAGGAUGCUUCGGGCGCGACCGCGGUCCAAGUCCCCUGGAACGGGGCGUCGUAGAGGGUGAGAAUCCCGUCUCCGGCCGGCCGGUCUCGCCCGUGUGAAGCUCCUUCGACGAGUCGAGUUGUUUGGGAAUGCAGCUCCAAAUGGGUGGUAAAUUUCAUCUAAAGCUAAAUACUGGUCGGAGACCGAUAGCGCACAAGUAGAGUGAUCGAAAGAUGAAAAGCACUUUGAAAAGAGAGUUAAACAGCAUGUGAAAUUGUUGAAAGGGAAGCGCUUGCGACCAGAGUCGGCCGUGGGGGUUCAGCGGGCAUUCGUUGCCCGUGCAAUCCCCCGCGGCCGGGCCAGCGUCGGUUUCGACGGCCGGUCAAAGGCCCCCGGAAUGUGUCGCCUCUCGGGGCGUCUUAUAGCCGGGGGUGCAAUGCGGCCAGUCGGGACCGAGGACGCGCUCCGGCACGGACGCUGGCUUAAUGGUCGUCA